rnacentral:tRNA from 1 species
GGGCGAUUAGCUCAGUUGGCUAGAGCGCUCGCUUGACGUGCGAGAGGAUCACAGGUUCGAGCCCUGUAUCGCCCACCA